CACGUAGGGGCCAAGCGUUGUCCGGAAUUAUUGGGCGUAAAGAGCUCGUAGGCGGUCUGUCGCGUCCGUUGUGAAAACUCGAGGCUCAACCUCGGGCUUGCAGUGGAUACGGGCAGACUAGAGUGCGGUAGGGGAGACUGGAAUUCCUGGUGUAGCGGUGGAAUGCGCAGAUAUCAGGAGGAACACCGAUGGCGAAGGCAGGUCUCUGGGCCGCAACUGACGCUGAGGAGCGAAAGCAUGGGGAGCGAACAGG
rnacentral:rRNA from 1 species